AGCGAACGCUGGCGGCAGGCCUAACACAUGCAAGUCGAACGAACCUUUCGGGGUUAGUGGCGGACGGGUGAGUAACACGUGGGAACGUGCCUUUAGGUUCGGAAUAACUCAGGGAAACUUGUGCUAAUACCGAAUGUGCCCUUCGGGGGAAAGAUUUAUCGCCUUUAGAGCGGCCCGCGUCUGAUUAGCUAGUUGGUUGAGGUAAUGGCUCACCAAGGCGACGAUCAGUAGCUGGUUUGAGAGGAUGAUCAGCCACAUUGGGACUGAGACACGGCCCAAACUCCUACGGGAGGCAGCAGUGGGGAAUCUUGCGCAAUGGGCGAAAGCCUGACGCAGCCAUGCCGCGUGAAUGAUGAAGGUCUUAGGAUUGUAAAAUUCUUUCACCGGGGACGAUAAUGACGGUACCCGGAGAAGAAGCCCCGGCUAACUUCGUG
rnacentral:rRNA from 1 species